rnacentral:rRNA from 1 species
UACGUAGGGUGCAAGCGUUAAUCGGAAUUACUGGGCGUAAAGCGUGCGCAGGCGGUUCGCUAAGACCGAUGUGAAAUCCCCGGGCUUAACCUGGGAACUGCAUUGGUGACUGGCGGGCUAGAGUAUGGCAGAGGGGGGGUAGAAUUCCACGUGUAGCAGUGAAAUGCGUAGAGAUGUGGAGGAAUACCGAUGGCGAAGGCAGCCCCCUGGGCCAAUACUGACGCCUCAUGCACGAAAGCGUGGGGAGCAAACAGG